UGAAUCAAAAGGGUGCAACUUCUCUGUCAGAACGGGUGCCAGACAAAGCUACACCAGCUUGGCACUUCCUGUGGGCUCCCAGCCUCUCAACCUCAAAGACUGCCCCUUUAACUGUCAGACACCUUAUCGCAGGUUCCUGCUGAGCACAGUGCAGCUACUGGUGGGAUUUCAUCACUCUAGGCCUCCUAGCCCUGCUGGGGAAAGAGGGUCUGGCACUGGUGAUUGGAUGACUCUGUGAUACCUCAAUCCAGCCUAUGGCUGCAGCAGCUGCCGUGAGGAAGGGAAGCUCCUGGGACAGGAAAUGAGAGGAGUGUCCCCAAGCCCUGCUCACUACAAACUGCCCUGCUUGUGCAAGCAGGAGAUGGACCGUGAGCACGGCCAUGAACCAGGUCAGAUACAGGAAGCACAUAGUGCCUUUUAAAAAGAUGGCUCUGGAGCUGUGAGAUAGCAAUGAAGACUGGAAACAGACAGAGAAGGAACAAGGUUAUGGCAGUUGCUUCCUGGCCUGUUCCUGGACUACUAUUCACCAUGACCACUCGAAACAGCAAACAUACAUCCUACCUUUUCUGCAAAUAGUUUUUGACAGUUAUUUUUAAUUAAAUAAACUUAUAGUUCUACUUGUAUGCUGAGAUAAAUAUUAAUUUUCU